rnacentral:lncRNA from 1 species
GUACUUGCAAAUUAUGGUGAGAAUGAUAUAAUUAUUGUGGGGGCAAGCUUGGCCAUGAAGCCAAAUCUCAGGAAAAGCCUACUCAUCGCUUUAAUCCUUUGCUAUUAUAGUGCAUAUUGCAAUAACAAAAUGAGAUUUCUUUCCAAAUAUGAACGGUAAGGCAUUAACUCAAACCCUUAAUAAAAAGGAGUUGAUGUCCCCAAAUCUUUUCAUCAAACCUAAAAUUUC